UCUACCAACAGCAGCCACAACAGAGCGGCUCUGGAGGCUGGGAGGAGAAGCAAAAACGGGAGACAACAGCUCCAAGUGCCUCAUCAGCAGCGCUGCAGCGCCAAGUGACAUCACUUCCUGUUCUGAUCAGUUCGGCAUGGAGACUUGUAUCAAGCCUGGCCGCCUGUGUGUCCUCUCUCCCUCGCAGCAGAUGUCCUCCCUCCGUUUCUUCCAGGAGCAGUGUUUGAGGAGGUGUAUCCAGGAAACAGUGGCCGGCGCUCACUUCCUGUGUGACAGGUGUGCGAUGGAGGCCUGACAGCUGCUGUCCUGCUCUCUCUUUCCCUCUCUGUAUUCCUCUCUCCUGUUUCUCCCUCUUUCCAGCCAGCUGCAGCAGAGAGCAGCUCUGUUUGUUCUUACGUCACCGUUGCUGCCUGCUGAUUUAUGGAGCACAAAAGACUUAGAUUUGACCCUGGCAACACACACACAUGCACGAACAGACAUACACACACAGACACACACACCGCAGCAACUGCAGCAUCUCCGUCCUUCCUCUUCAUAAGCCCCGGAGUCUUUACAUGUGCGUGAAUUGUGGCUGCCUAUUCUCCUCCUGGUGUCUCUCGCUCUUAUGCUUCGUGCACAGCUACAAACCUGACACUGAGCUGUCACUUGCAGCUAAGAUAGAAAAACAAACAGCAGAUUAGGCAUUCUCCUGCUUGAUGUCAUGUAUUUCAUUUCAUUCAGUGUUAAAUGUCUGCUCUGUCACUGUGGAGCUGUCAGCA